rnacentral:rRNA from 1 species
UACGUAGGGGGCAAGCGUUGUCCGGAAUCAUUGGGCGUAAAGCGCGUGUAGGCGGUUUCGUAAGUCUGCUGUGAAAGUCGGAGGCUCAACCUUCGAAAGCCGGUGGAUACUGUGAGACUUGAGUACGGAAGAGGAGAGUGGAAUUCCUGGUGUAGCGGUGAAAUGCGCAGAUAUCAGGAGGAACACCGGUGGCGAAGGCGGGUCUCUGGGCAACAACUGACGCUGAGGAGCGAAAGCGUGGGGAGCAAACAGG